UGCCACAGUCAUUUGUAAGGCGUGCCAGC
rnacentral:piRNA from 1 species